rfam:Rattus norvegicus chromosome 8, whole genome shotgun sequence.
GGGGAUUUAGCUCAGUGGUAGAGCGCUUGCCUAGCAAACGCAAGGCCCUGGGUUCGGUCCCCAGAAGACCACA